rnacentral:tRNA from 1 species
GGGGUUGUGGCUCAGCGGUAGAGUGUUCGCCUAGCAUGUGCAAGGUGCUGGGUUCCAUCCUCAGCACCACA